CCGCACGGGUGAGUAACACGUAUCCAACCUGCCGUCUACUCUUGGACAGCCUUCUGAAAGGAAGAUUAAUACAAGAUGGCAUCAUGAGUCCGCAUGUUCACAUGAUUAAAGGUUAUUCCGGUAGACGAUGGGGAUGCGUUCCAUUAGAUAGUAGGCGGGGUAACGGCCCACCUAGUCUUCGAUGGAUAGGGGUUCUGAGAGGAAGGUCCCCCACAUUGGAACUGAGACACGGUCCAA
rnacentral:rRNA from 1 species